UAAACGGACCAUCGAGUAUCCAUUGGAGGGCAAGUCUGGUGCCAGCAGCUGCGGUAAUACCAGCUCCAAUAGCGUAUAUUAAAGUUGUUGCAGCUAAAAAGCUCGUAGUUGGACUUGUGUGCGCUGUCCGCGGGUGGCCUGCGCCCAAAAGGGCGUUUCGGUUCGGCCCCGGUGGCGCCUUGAAAUCUGCAGCUGGGGGGACGUUGGCCCUAACUGGUCGGCGACCGCACGCCGGCUGCUUGGUUACUGUGAGAAAAUUAGAGUGUUCAAGGCAGGCAUUGGGUGCAAUUGAAUACAUUAGCAUGGAAUAAUAAAAUAUGGCUCCUGCCGUAUUUUGUUGGUUUUGACUGGUGGGAGUAAUGAUUGAUAGGGACGGUUGGGGGUGCUAGUAUUGAGCGGCCAGAGGUGAAAUUCAUGGAUUCGCUCAAGACUAACUUAUGCGAAAGCAUUCACCAAGGACGUCCUCUUUAAUCAAGAACGAAAGUUGGGGGAUCGAAGACGAUCAGAUACCGUCGUAGUCUCAACCAUAAACUAUGUCGACUUGGGAUCGGCGGUAGUUUUUUCAUUAAGACACUGUCGGGACCACGGGAGAAAUCAAAGUGUCUGGACUCUGGGGGAAGUAUGGUCGCAAGGCUGAAACUUGAAGGAAUUGACGGAAGGGCACCACCAGGAGUGGAGCCUGCGGCUUAAUUUGACACAACACGGGGAAACUUACCAGGUCCAGAGAUGUAGAGGAUUGACAGAUUGAAGCUCUUUCUUGAUCACUUCGGUAGUGGUGCAUGGCCGUUCUUAGUUGGUGGAGUGAUUUGUCUGGUUAAUUCCGUUAACGAACGAGACCUCAGCCUGCUAGUGUAGUCGGCUGGAUUGCCUUUGGCGAUCCGUGAUUUCGACUUCUUAGAGGGACAAUCGACGCGCAGUCGAUGGAAGUUUGAGGCAAUAACAGGUCUGUGAUGCCCUUAGAUGUUCUGGGCCGCACGCGCGCUACACUGCUGGGCUCAGCGAGUUUUACUUGGCCGAGAGGCCCGGUUAAUCUUGUGAAAUCCCAGCGUGCUUGGGCUCGCCUCCUGCAACUGGAGGCGCCAACGAGGAAUUCCUAGUAGACGCAGGUCAUCAACCUGCAUCGAUUACGUCCCUGCCCUUUGUACACACCGCCCGUCGUUCCAUAAGAGUGAGGCAUCCGGUGAAUUCUCGGGAGAGCCUGGGCGUGGCCAGCAAUGGUCUGCUCGGGUUUGAACUUGCAUAAACUUGGUGCCUAUGAUUAGGG
rnacentral:rRNA from 1 species